rnacentral:rRNA from 1 species
UACAGAGGUCCCAAGCGUUGUUCGGAUUCACUGGGCGUAAAGGGUGCGUAGGCGGUCGGGUAAGUCUGAUGUGAAAUCUCACAGCUUAACUGUGAAACUGCAUUGGAUACUAUCCGGCUCGAGGAAUGGAGGGGAGACUGGAAUACUUGGUGUAGCAGUGAAAUGCGUAGAUAUCGGGAAGAACACCCGUGGCGAAGGCGGCUCUCUGGGACGGUACUGACGCUGAGACGCGAAAGCGUGGGGAGCGAACAGG